ensembl:lncRNA
CCGGACGACUGGUGGAAAGCUGCUACCCCCAGUAAGGCCACCUCCUCAGUGAUAGGCUUGAUCUUCUGGUCACCACUGACAUCGCUAGACUCAGAGUCCAGGUCCCCCUCUUCUUGACUGGAAGAGGAUGGCGUCUGCUUCAUUCUAUGCUCGGAUUGAGGUGUGCUUUGAGGCUUGGCUGCCUGGGUAUUACCCUCCUUGCUGGAUGUAGAUUCAUCCUCUUUCUUGACCUUCCGAGGUCUGCCCCUGGGCCUAUGUUGAGGACUAUCCUUGCUGGGGGUAGGUUCAUCCUCUCUCUUAACCUUCCGAGGCCUCCCCCUGGGCCUGGUCAUAGUCUUGAUCUCCUUCUGCAGGUCCGGAUCGUCACUGGAGGAAUCAGAGUCAGAGGAGCGGUCUGGCACCUUGCGUUUGCGGACAACUCUUUCUGGAGAGAGGGGCGUGUUCUUCUUCAGGCCGAAGAGGCAUUUCUUGGUCACACUCAGAUGGUCUCCAUCGUCACUCUCGGCUUCGUCUGAACUACGCGUCAUGGCAGCCCGCUGGAGGACAGCUGGGACCUCAUCGGAGUCAGAGUCAUCAGUUCCUCUCCCAAGCCCUUCCUCAUCAGCUCCUUGAGGCACUUCAGCAUUGGGGCUGGUGUCUGGGUCCGAGUCACUCUCACUGUCUGCACCCGAGGGGGUCGGCUGGGUCUUGCCCUCACCUGGCCUGCGCAAGGGUGUGGUCUUUACCCGAGGUGAGCGUCUGUUAUCUGGUUCCUCUUCCAGUUCCAGAGAUUCGCUUCCCUCAGCAGAUUCAUACUCCCCCUCUGUUACAAGUUCAAUAGAUUCACAGUCUCCCUCCCGUUCCUCCACUUUUUCUUUUCUCUCUUCCUCUUCCUCCUCUGCCUCCAACUCCACUUCCACCUCCAACUCUGGGGGGCCAGAGAGUGGCUCUUGUUCAACAGGGGCAGGUGAAAUUUGCACCACCAGUUGUUUUGUCACGUUGCAAGCAUCUUCUCCAGGCUUUGAGUUUUUCCGCGGCCUGCCUCUACCUCGUCUGGGAAUUAUCUCUGUGCCAAGGACACCUUUCAUUUCAAUUGAGGACGAAGGCCUUCCAUCAUCCAUAAAGCCAUUUGAGUCUGAAUCAUUCUCUUCCAAAUGUUCAGCUGCAAUUUUCUUUAAGUAAUGAAGGCCAUUCUUAUCAGAAAUGUCAAUUUCCACACAACCCUCUUGUUCUUGUUGAGGUACAUCAGUAUCAUCAAACGUGGGGUUUUCGCCACCAUUUGGCAAACCCAUCUCUCUGAACUCCUCCAAAAGGGCUUCCUCCAGAGCCGUCUGAGACUUCUUCAGACCCUUCAGUACUGACUGGAAAGUCUUCAGGUAUUGUAGCUUUAACUCGGUUGUCUGUUUCUGCUGCAUGCCACCUUGAAUGAACUUCACAAAAGUUGUGUUUACAGUGUUUGUAGAGUCCACCAGGUUUUUAGCCUUUUUGGCCAUCUCCUCUGGAAUUUGAAGGGUGUUGUAGUUGAACACAACGUGACCAUCCAUGCCACUAUGGUUCCAAUGACCCACGGGAAUGUUUUGAGAAUGCCUUGGAUGGGAGUCAUAAUGUCCAGAUUUUCCCUCGCCCCUGCCCCUCUUGCGGUGGUCUGGCCACAAAUGCCCCAAGUUGUCAAGGACGUUGUCACAAGCGACAACCAGGUCCAGAAGAGGCUCUGGGCUACAUACGUAGCAGUACCACUUACUCUCCUCAUCCAGGAUGCCAGACAACUCUUUUCGCCCCAGGUUCCGCAAAAUGCAUUUCUUACAGAAGGCAUUGGGGCAAAAGUCGCAGCAUAUCAGGUUUCCCCCCUCUGCACACCAUCU